rnacentral:lncRNA from 1 species
CCCAAUUCCCCUAAUAACCUUUAGCCUUCAAACAAUUAACUUCUCCUAUUCCUAAAAAUCCCAAAAUGCAACCAUCGUCUCCCCCCUACGAUUUCGCCAGCAACUCGCCAACACCUUCCCCCAAUUCUUUGAUUUGUUUCCUUUUUUUAAAAUAUUGUUUUUAACUUUCUUUUCUCAAUUCUUUUCCUCUUCAAAAUCUAUAAAGAAAUUGCGAUUGGGAGCCAAGAUUUUUGCCCCAAUUUUAGUCUAAAUUGCUGUCAUGAUUGAAGAUUUGCAUGCUCUUCUUUCCAUUUCGACAUCCGUAGGUUCAAAUCAAUUAGAUGAAUAUGGAUAGUUUUCGAGGUAAGCGCUUCACCCAUUCUUCAGUUUUUCUUAUCGAUUGGAUAGCAAUUUUGGAAAUUCAGUUGUCAAUAUUCUCUUCUAAUUUUUUGAUUAUGUAGAAAUACAUAAUUUGAUUAUGUAAAGCGAAGUUUUCCAAUAAUCAUAAUCUAUUUCAUUUGAAUUAAUUACCAACGGUUCAUUUUUUAGUACUCCAAUUUCGCUUUAAUCCCCGAAUCCUUGCUUAGCAAUCCAAAUUUUUUAUUUAUUUGAUACACUGUUUUAUUUGAUUCUUUUCCAUGCUAGAUACAUGUCCUAAGACUAAUUCACAACUAUAAAUACUGAUAUAUUCUAUGCAUCGAAAGGGGACUUCUGACUAUUAUUGACAACCAUUAUAACCUUCUUAUUGAGAUCUGUUACACGAGUUGCCUUUCUAUUCUUGCUUUGCCGGCUGUAAGUCAUGGCAAAGUUUGUUGCUUUUCAUUCCUCUCGAUAUUCGGAUUCUUUCUUGUUGCUGCUGUUCCAAGUUCAUCGCUAUAAUUGUUGGGUUUAUUCUGUUGUCGAAACUCUAUUCGCGAGCUAUUUAUUUGGAUUCCUGGUUUUCUUAUUAAUUCGGUACUCCGUCACUCGUUAGUUCCCUGAACAGUACCUCGUUAGUUCCCUGAACGACGCAUUUCGAUCCCUUUGUGUGCUGGUUGUUGUUAGAAUAGACUAGUUCUCCUCUUUAAUUUUUAUUUUUUCUUUUACUCUAUUUGUGUGUUUUGUAUACUCUUGGCCAUGCCGAGUACCAUGCGGCACUCUGUUCAAAGCAUGCCAAGAUUAAAUUCCCGGGUGCGUCUUUUAAACCCCAUUAUGUGCUUGACACCGUUUGCAUUGUGGUUCUGGUGCGCUAAGAACUUGACCGUAGAAUUAUCAUCAGUUUGACCCGUUCGGAUUUGUUCAAAGUAUUCUGUCAACUAGAAAUCAUGACGGAGGCGUAACUAAAUAUAUAAUAAAUUUAUGUACGUGCAUAUGUUUGGCUAAUGUUUAGUACAUAUUUGAGUUUCUGUAUUUCACCUAGAACACCAUGCCCUUAGGACCAAAAAGAUUAAUCUGGUACUUCUUUAAAUGAAAAGAUUCUGCCUAAAAGAUGUAUGCUCGCUCUCUGUGAUUUGAUCUUGUUACCAGUAAUUCGUUUCCUACGUUUAGAUUCGAACUAAUGAAUUUGAAGUGGUAGAUUCCAGGUGUAGUGAUAUAACUUACGAAUUUUGCCCAAAUUUUGCUUAUAAUCUUCCUUGCUAUUGUAAAAUCUAUACUACCUGAACAUGCCUCAAUGAAUAAUUAAGCCUAGAUAUCAUGUCAUUAUGAUACUUAUUAACUUAAAAGUGUCUUAUAUAUUGUUAUUAAUAUCUUGAGAGCCAGUAAUUAUAAGCCAGUGCUGCAUUUGUGUUCUAUAAUUGAUAUAAGCCAAAUUUCAUCAGAUAUCAUGCUUUUAGGAAAUAAUAAGUUAGAGUCUGAUUUCUGUGGUGAAUCUCUUCGAGAUGCCUGUUUCUUCUGGUAUGUCUUUGUAUGAUUUAUGAUUUGCAGGGGUCUUAACUUAAAGAAUUUUUCGCCAUAGAUCAACUCUUGGGUCAAGUUGGAGUUGCCUGGGAAGGGAAAGAUUUACGGGUUGAUGUUUCAAAGUUUACUUAGAGAAUAAGGUUCAUGUUUAACACCUAGACACCAUGAUUAUAGGAUUUGAUUCACCUCUACAAGUCUAUAUUAAUGUUGAUAACUCUGGAAUCCAUGCUUCUGUUUGUUUAUUUUGAAUGGUUAAUAUAUAUAGCUAUCAGUUAGAUAUCAUGCUUUAAAUAUAAUUUCACUUAGUGAUAACACCGAUCAAACUGGUUUAGCUAAUAAUCUAGAUACUUUGAACUUGUGAC